rnacentral:rRNA from 1 species
CUAUCUUUUUUUGUGAUGGAGACUCUGAUGCAGCACGCCGCGUGGAGGAGACGCAUUUCGGUGUGUAAACUCCUUAAAUAUAGGAAGAUAAUGACGGUACUAUAUGAAUAAGCACCGGCUAACUCCGUGCCAGCAGCCGCGGUAAUACGGAGGGUGCAAGCGUUACUCGGAAUCACUGGUCGUAAAGCGCGCGCAGGCGGCCUUGUAAGUUGGAUGUGAAAGCCUACGGCUCAACCGUAGAACUGCAUCCAAAACUACUAGGCUAGAGUGUGGGAGAGGAAGAUGGAAUUAGUUGUGUAGGGGUAAAAUCCGUAGAGAUAACUAGGAAUACCAAAAGCGAAGGCAAUCUUCUGGAACAUUACUGACGCUGAGGCGCGAAAGCGUGGGGAGCAAACAGGAUUAGAUACCCUGGUAGUCCACGCCCUAAACGAUGAAUGUUAGUCGUCGGGUAGCUAGUCUAUUCGGUGAUGCAGCUAACGCAUUAAACAUUCCGCCUGGGGAGUACGGUCGCAAGAUUAAAACUCAAAGGAAUAGACGGGGACCCGCACAAGUGGUGGAGCAUGUGGUUUAAUUCGAAGAUACGCGAUGAACCUUACCUAGCCUUGACAUAUUUAAGAACACUUUAGAGAUAGAGUGGUGCCUUCGGGAGCUUUUAUACAGGUGCUGCACGGCUGUCGUCAGCUCGUGUCGUGAGAUGUUGGGUUAAGUCCCGCAACGAGCGCAACCCUCGUCACUAGUUACUAACGGUUCGGCCGAGGACUCUAGUGAGACUGCCUUCGCAAGGAGAGGAAGGUGAGGACGACGUCAGUCAUCAUGGCCCUUACGGCUAGGGCAACACACGUGCUACAUGGCCAGGACAUGAGACGCGAUACCGCGAGUGAGCAAAUCUAUAACCUGUCCUCAGUUCGGAUUGAGUCUGCAACUCGACUACUGGAGCUGGAAUCACUAGUAAUCGUAGAUCAGCUAUGCUACGGUGAAUCGUUCCGGGAUCUUGUACUCACCCCCGGUCCACCAUUGGAGUGUGAUUCACCCGGAGCGGAAGCUUACUGCUACCCUCCAAGGUGAUCGGACUGGUGAGUCCUGUACAGGUACCGUGAGAAACUUGCGCUGAAUACAUCUCUCUGAUAGGGCGAGAUUCG